rnacentral:rRNA from 1 species
GACGAACGCUGGCGGCGUGCUUAACACAUGCAAGUCGAACGGAAGGGCCCUGCUUUUGUGGGGUGCUCGAGUGGCGAACGGGUGAGUAACACGUGAGUAACCUGCCCUUGACUUUGGGAUAACUUCAGGAAACUGGGGCUAAUACCGGAUAGGAGCUCCUGCUGCAUGGUGGGGGUUGGAAAGUUUCGGCGGUUGGGGAUGGACUCGCGGCUUAUCAGCUUGUUGGUGGGGUAGCGGCUUACCAAGGCUUUGACGGGUAGCCGGCCUGAGAGGGUGACCGGCCACAUUGGGACUGAGAUACGGCCCAGACUCCUACGGGAGGCAGCAGUGGGGAAUAUUGCACAAUGGGCGGAAGCCUGAUGCAGCAACGCCGCGUGCGGGAUGACGGCCUUCGGGUUGUAAACCGCUUUCGCCUGUGACGAAGCGUGAGUGACGGUAAUGGGUAAAGAAGCACCGGCUAACUACGUG